rnacentral:rRNA from 1 species
CCCUUAGACGUUCUGGGCCGCACGCGCGCUACACUGACCAGUGCAACAAGCAUCCGUCCUUGGCCGACAGGCUCGGGCAAUCUUUGAACGCUGGUCGUGAUGGGGAUAGACUUUUGCAAUUUUUGGUCUUCAACGAGGAAUUCCUAGUAAACGCAAGUCAUCAACUUGCAUUGAUUACGUCCCUGCCCUUUGUACACACCGCCCGUCGAACCUACCGAUUGAAUGGUCCGGUGAAGCCUCCGGAUUGGCGCGCACCUCGGUGCCGCCGAGAAGUUGGCUAAACCUUACCAUUUAGAGGAAGGUGAAGUCGUAACA